rnacentral:rRNA from 1 species
CUACGGGACGCACCAGUGGGGAAUAUUGCACAAUGGGGGAAACCCUGAUGCAGCAACGCCGCGUGAAGGAAGAAGGCUCUUGGGUUGUAAACUUCUUUGAAUGGGGACGAAACAAAUGACGGUACCCAUAAAACAAGCCACGGCUAACUACGUGCCAGCAGCCGCGGUAAUACGUAGGUGGCAAGCGUUAUCCGGAAUUACUGGGUGUAAAGGGCGUGUAGGCGGGAGAGCAAGUCAGAUGUGAAAUGCCAAGGCUUAACCAUGGAACUGCAUCUGAAACUGUUUUUCUUGAGUACUGGAGAGGAAAGUGGAAUUCCUAGUGUAGCGGUGAAAUGCGUAGAGAUUAGGAGGAACACCAGUGGCGAAGGCGGCUUUCUGGACAGUAACUGACGCUGAGGCGCGAAAGCGUGGGGAGCAAACAGGAUUAGAUACCCCUGUAGUC